rnacentral:lncRNA from 1 species
AGGGACUCCACGCUGCUUGUCCUCUUCUUUUUGUAUGCCUCUGCAGACCUGUGAGCCCAAAUCCCCGAACACCUCCAACCUAUGUGUUCCUAUGUCUCUUCGUGGUCCAUGGUCACUAGGCUACCUUUUCGCAGGGCGGAGAGACACGGAAUCAACACACAGACUCCGGGAAGUGGUGAGAGAACUGGCUGGAGACCCACCUCAGACCACCUUCCAGUAGCUCGGUUUAUUGUUGGAAUGCACACGACUAUUACAGGGUUCGAGUGGGGCGUGUCUGCCAGUCAGACAUAAGCACCUUAACAUCUAUAAGCCAGUCAUCUUCCGCCUACUGUAACCGCACUAUGAGGAAGCACUGAAUAUUGCUGCCGUGAGGGAAGGCAGUCUGGAAAGGGUCUUUGUCCCUCAGGGAGGCAGGCUAUGACUUGGGGGGUUACAUGCCCUGAAACAUUUGACUCUUGGUUUUUCGGCCUGGUAGUCUGGUAGCUUGACAACGCUGACCACAAGUGCUGAGGCUGUGUUUCACACUCGCUAGAGCAGAGUGCCCCGUCCUACAGGUGUUCCUGUCAGGCCUGUACGAUCCAUCAAUCGAUCGAUCGUAGGUUUUCCUAGCACUCUGAGCUGCUCGUAC